AGCUUUGCGCAGUGGCAGGAUUGUAGCCAAUGAGUUUUAUCUGAGGUGCGAUUAUUGCUAAUUGAAAACUAGACAUUUUGUGACUAUUAUCUCUGACAAUUGAUCUUCAU
rnacentral:snRNA from 1 species